rnacentral:snRNA from 1 species
GUGCUUGCUUCAGCAACAUAUACACUAAAAUUGGAACAAUACAGAGAUUAGCAGGAUGACACAUAAAUUCAUGAAAUGUUCCAUAUUUAU